rnacentral:lncRNA from 1 species
UUCCACUCAGUCUAGUCUCAUUCUAAGCAUGGAGAAUUUUGGUAUGUAAAACAAAAUCAACACUAAUUAUUAUGAAAAGUUAAUUACUAUAUAUCUUAUUAUCAUGAUUAUGAUUUGAAUUAAAAGGGUAGUAUUUCUCUAUUAUAUAUAAAAAAAUAUAUAUUAGUAUUUCUAUACUUCGAUUAAUAACGAUUUUAAAUAAAGGUCUUUGACUGUAAUUUUGAACCACGAUAUAAUUUGUUUUUAUGUUGCCGAAAUUGCAGUACGACGUGCAUUAGACACAGUUAACUUCAAAUUUUUGCAAUAUUGAAGAUCGCGAUGCAACCACAAUUUAAAAUGUACAAUUAUAGAAUUACUAAUUUUGGAAAAGAAAUAUAAAAAAGAGUGUGUAAAGUUAUUUACUUGUUGUAGGUUGGAAGCUGAUUGGUUCAAUUGAGGUUGAGGGUCGGUGACUAAUGUUGUUGGUGUUGCAUGUGAGAAGAAAACAAUGAUGGAGAAUGUGAAGAUUAAGGCAAGAGUUUUCAUGGUUUAGUAUCUACUUGUGACCUUUUUUUGUGCUUCACAAGAGAAGAAUGCUUCUAUCAUAGCAUUAGAAAGGCCAGGGGCAAUAUUUAAGAACAUCAUCAUAAUGC